UAGACUUUCUUUCCUGGGCUGGCUUUGAACUAUGAUCCUCAGAUCUUAGUCUCUUGAGUUCCUAGGGUUACAGGCUUCAGCCAUCAGUGCUCAGCCUGGACAUU